rnacentral:rRNA from 1 species
GAUUAGUGGCGAACGGGUGAAUAACACGUGGGCAAUCUGCCCUGCACUCUGGGACAAGCCCUGGAAACGGGGUCUAAUACCGGAUAUGACUGUCCAUCGCCUGGUGGAUGGUGUAAAGCUCCGGCGGUGCAGGAUGAGCCCGCGGCCUAUCAGCUUGUUGGUGAGGUAGUGGCUCACCAAGGCGACGACGGGUAGCCGGCCUGAGAGGGCGACCGGCCACACUGGGACUGAGACACGGCCCAGACUCCUACGGGAGGCAGCAGUGGGGAAUAUUGCACAAUGGGCGAAAGCCUGAUGCAGCGACGCCGCGUGAGGGAUGACGGCCUUCGGGUUGUAAACCUCUUUCAGCAGGGAAGAAGCGAAAGUGACGGUACCUGCAGAAGAAGCGCCGGCUAACUACGUGCCAGCAGCCGCGGUAAUACGUAGGGCGCAAGCGUUGUCCGGAAUUAUUGGGCGUAAAGAGCUCGUAGGCGGCUUGUCACGUCGGUUGUGAAAGCCCGGGGCUUAACCCCGGGUCUGCAGUCGAUACGGGCAGGCUAGAGUUCGGUAGGGGAGAUCGGAAUUCCUGGUGUAGCGGUGAAAUGCGCAGAUAUCAGGAGGAACACCGGUGGCGAAGGCGGAUCUCUGGGCCGAUACUGACGCUGAGGAGCGAAAGCGUGGGGAGCGAACAGGAUUAGAUACCCUGGUAGUCCACGCCGUAAACGGUGGGCACUAGGUGUGGGCAACAUUCCACGUUGUCCGUGCCGCAGCUAACGCAUUAAGUGCCCCGCCUGGGGAGUACGGCCGCAAGGCUAAAACUCAAAGGAAUUGACGGGGGCCGCACAAGCGGCGGAGCAUGUGGCUUAAUUCGACGCAACGCGAAGAACCUUACCAAGGCUUGACAUACACCGGAAACGUCUGGAGACAGGCGCCCCCUUGUGGUCGGUGUACAGGUGGUGCAUGGCUGUCGUCAGCUCGUGUCGUGAGAUGUUGGGUUAAGUCCCGCAACGAGCGCAACCCUUGUCCCGUGUUGCCAGCAGGCCCUUGUGGUGCUGGGGACUCACGGGAGACCGCCGGGGUCAACUCGGAGGAAGGUGGGGACGACGUCAAGUCAUCAUGCCCCUUAUGUCUUGGGCUGCACACGUGCUACAAUGGCCGGUACAAUGAGCUGCGAUACCGCGAGGUGGAGCGAAUCUCAAAAAGCCGGUCUCAGUUCGGAUUGGGGUCUGCAACUCGACCCCAUGAAGUCGGAGUCGCUAGUAAUCGCAGAUCAGCAUUGCUGCGGUGAAUACGUUCCCGGGCCUUGUACACACCGCCCGUCACGUCACGAAAGUCGGUAACACCCGAAGCCGGUGGCCAACCCCUUGUGGGAGGGAGCUGUCGAAGGUGGGACUGGCGAUUGGGACGAAGUCGUAACAAGGAACCGUACCGGAAG